ACGGGCGCUAAAUGCAGUCGAGCGGGGUUUUCGGACCUAGCGGCGGACGGGUGAGUAAUGCGUAGGAAGCUGCCCGAUAGAGGGGGAUACCAGUUGGAAACGACUGUUAAUACCGCAUAAUGUCUACGGACCAAAGUGUGGGACCUUCGGGCCACAUGCUAUCGGAUGCGCCUACGUGGGAUUAGCUAGUUGGUGAGGUAAUGGCUCACCAAGGCGACGAUCUCUAGCUGGUUUGAGAGGAUGAUCAGCCACACUGGAACUGAGACACGGUCCAGACUCCUACGGGAGGCAGCAGUGGGGAAUAUUGGACAAUGGGCGCAAGCCUGAUCCAGCCAUGCCGCGUGUGUGAAGAAGGCCUUCGGGUUGUAAAGCACUUUCAGCGAGGAGGAAGGGAUGUAUGUUAAUAGCAUGCAUUUUUGACGUUACUCGCAGAAGAAGCACCGGCUAACUCUGUGCCAGCAGCCGCGGUAAUACAGAGGGUGCAAGCGUUAAUCGGAAUUACUGGGCGUAAAGCGCACGUAGGCGGUUUUUUAAGUCAGAUGUGAAAGCCCCGGGCUCAACCUGGGAAUUGCAUUUGAAACUGGGGAACUAGAGUGUGUGAGAGGGGGGUAGAAUUCCAAGUGUAGCGGUGAAAUGCGUAGAGAUUUGGAGGAAUACCAGUGGCGAAGGCGGCCCCCUGGCACAACACUGACGCUCAGGUGCGAAAGCGUGGGGAGCAAACAGGAUUAGAUACCCUGGUAGUCCACGCCGUAAACGAUGUCUACUAGCUGUUCGUGUCCUUGUGAUGUGAGUAGCGCAGCUAACGCACUAAGUAGACCGCCUGGGGAGUACGGUCGCAAGAUUAAAACUCAAAUGAAUUUGACGGGGGCCCGCACAAGCGGUGGAGCAUGUGGUUUAAUUUCGACGCAACGCGAAGAACCUUACCUACUCUUGACAUCUACGGA
rnacentral:rRNA from 1 species